rnacentral:rRNA from 1 species
UACGUAGGGGGCAAGCGUUGUCCGGAAUCAUUGGGCGUAAAGGGCGCGUAGGCGGAUAAUUAAGUCUGGUGUGAAAACUUGGGGCUCAACCCCAAGCCUGCAUCGGAAACUGGUUAUCUUGAGGACAGGAGAGGAAAGUGGAAUUCCACGUGUAGCGGUGAAAUGCGUAGAGAUGUGGAGGAACACCAGUGGCGAAGGCGACUUUCUGGACUGUAACUGACGCUGAGGCGCGAAAGCGUGGGGAGCAAACAGG